rnacentral:rRNA from 1 species
CCCUUAGAUGUUCUGGGCCGCACGCGCGCUACACUGAUGCAUUCAACGAGCCUAUCCUUGACCGACAGGUCCGGGUAAUCUUUGAAUCUGCAUCGUGACGGGGAUAGAUUAUUGCAAUUAUUAAUCUUCAACGAGGAAUGCCUAGUAGGCGCAAGUCAUCAGCUUGCGUCGACUACGUCCCUGCCCUUUGUACACACCGCCCGUCGCUCCUACCGAUUGGGUGUGCUGGUGAAAUGUUCGGAUCGGCCGUUUGUCGCGGUUUCCGCGGCUCGUGGCUGAGAAGUUCAUUAAACCCUCCCACCUAGAGGAAGGAGAAGUCGUAACA